AGUCACAUUUCGGGUAUGGGUCACCAUACUUGACAAAUAAUUGAAUUAUUAUUAUUUAAAACUGAAAUGUUAUUUUCACAUAAUCAAUGUGUUGUGUCCCACAUUUUAGGUUGCCAAGUGGAGUUGUGUACAAAAGGAACAAAAAGCCAUUUUUUGGACAUCUGGCAUAUUGACAGUCUAGGGAACGCUUUAGAGGGUGUGAGGGCCAGCUGUUUUUAACCACCUCUACUGGAUUGCAGCUUCCACUCCUAAUGGAGAUGGAGAUGUGAUGGAGGCCAAGUGGAAAAGCAUGGUUAACAAUGUUCAGAACAUCCAUGAACACGACACUCCAAUGUUUCUCUGCUGUGCACAUGCAUGCCUGGAGGGGGAAGUAAGGAACAAGGCGUGGAUGGAACCAGCAUAUGCAUCAGCCCUCAUGGAGUCUCUGAUACCGCUUUUCCACCGGGGCUGGUGUUGGAGCCGGAGCUGGUUCUGGGCCGAGGGUGGUGCUCUUCAGAACCGGCUCGCGUUUCCACUGUCAAGGAACGGAACCCUCUACGUCACUCAACUCAACUUUAUUUAUAUAGCGCUUUUACAAUUUUCAUUGUUACAAAGCAGCUGUACAUGAGACAUAUUGACUAUAAGCAAAAUAAUUAAAGUUGUACCUGCAAAAACAAGAAAAGGUUGAAAACACAGAAGACAGACAUACCCACAUACAAAACACUCCACACACACAAUAUGCACACGUACUAACACACAUAGACAUAGAGACACACACACACACACACGGAUGCGCACGCACACACACACAACACACACACACACACACACGUACACAGACAAGUACGCACACACACACACGCUCAGUGAGAGCACACAUUUAGGAUAAAGGAGAGAGAAGCACAGGUCAAAUAUAACAGAUAAUAAAUUCCUAUAUGCAAUAUUAAUUAAGUAAAACUUUAAAAUUCUAAAGCAGCCCCCCCGGUCAGGCAGAUAGUGCAAAAACAGUAUGCAAACGGUGGCGAGGAACCCAAAACUCUAAUCGAGAAAAAAAACCUCAGGAGAACCCAGGCCCAACCAGGGGAUUCCAGUUCCCCUCUGGCAAAAGCUGCUGCCUCUGCACAAGCUCCAGAGAACUU